rnacentral:rRNA from 1 species
AUGUCGUCGAAGAAGAUAGAGCUAGACCACAAUGACAUGGUUCAUGAUUCUGCCAUUGACUACUAUGGGAAGCGCCUUGCCACAGCCUCCUCUGACUCCACUGUGAAGAUCACCAGCAUUGGAGGUGCAUCUGCCCCGUCCCAGCUUGUUGCGACCCUCACUGGCCACUAUGGUCCUGUGUGGCGUGUCGGAUGGGCCCAUCCCAAGUAUGGUUCCAUUCUCGCAUCCUGCGGCUAUGAUGGCCGUGUGAUAGUCUGGAAGGAGGCUGCCACUGGGCAAUGGUCUCAGCUCCAUGUGUUUGACAACCACAAGGCCUCAGUUAACUCCAUUGCUUGGGCUCCAUAUGAACUUGGCCUUUGCCUUGCCUGUGGGUCUUCUGACGGCACCAUCUCUGUCAUCUCCAUGCGGCCUGAUACAGGAGGAUGUGACGCUGCAACCAUUGAGCGGGCGCACCCUGUUGGCGUGACAGCAGUCUCCUGGGCUCCAGCAGCAGCACUCGGGUCCAUGGUUGGCUCAGAUCAGCUCGUCCACAAGAUCGUGUCUGGUGGCUUUGACUGUGUCGUCAAGGUGUGGGAGUUUGUCAAUGGUGGCUGGAAGCUGGAGAGCGCUCUGGUCUCCGACAUGCACAAAGAGUGCGUGAGAGAUGUCUCAUGGGCACCGGUCCUGGGCCUGGCAAAGUCCACCAUCGCCAGCGCGUCCCAAGACGGCAAGGUUGUCAUCUGGACCAGUGGCAAAGGAGGAGGCAAGUGGGAAGGAAAGCUCAUGCGUGACUUCGAGGCUCCGGUGUGGAGGGUGUCCUGGUCCCUGACGGGAAACAUCCUGUCCGUGGCUGCCGGCGAGGGCGACAUAACUCUGUGGAAGGAGUCGUCAGACGGGCAGUGGGAGUCGCUGUGGACCAAGGCCUCAGAGGAGCCGCCGCAGGAGGAGCAGGCGAUAGAGGAGGCCAUGCAGUAG